UACUGAUUGAGGAGUUGGCUUUAAGGCUC
rnacentral:piRNA from 1 species